UUUUUUUUUUUUUUUUUGAACAUCUAUCUGGAUUUUGACUAAUUCUACAAUCCAAAAAAUAAAAUAAAAAUACAAAUCCAUGAUGUCAUUGUUCUCCUAAAAAACUGAUCGUUUUCGAUGGCUGCAAAGUUGGGACACUACGAAAUCGACUCCAAAACUGUUCGCUGAUUAAUUUCAACACAAAGGUCCCGAAAAUCAAACAAUUAGGAUCUGAAAACAAACAAGAAAAAUGAUAUUAUAUAUAUAUAUAUAUAUAUAUAUAUAUAUAUAUAUAUCUGUGUGUGUGUAUUUAUGUACGUAUUUACCAGUUAAAGAGGGGACGAGUGUAUUGAGAAGGAGCAGCAGGAUCAGAGACGCGCAACCCAUUUUUCAUCACUCGGUGGUUUCUUAGUUCUCAAAAAUUUUAAUUUUAAUUGAAAAAUGACAAAUAAAGUUGUAAGUGAAUAGUACAAAAAAAGAUAAAAAUAUGGUUUUUCAUAAAAAAAAAAUAAAUGGUACCAAAAGUGUUUCGUUAAAACUCACAAACAAAAUCCGAUCCGGUGAGAACGGUGGCUGUGGUGGGUACCCGGUGACCCAAUGUACCACAGGUCUCAGGUCUGCGGUGAUGGACCCAAACUUCUAACUGGGUCGGAAGGGAAACAUGGACUCAGGUUGGAGGCCCAUAUAUGUUGCCCUUUCGUUUCUAUACUUAUUUUUACAUAUUUCUAUAAACAUCCACAUAAAUUUCUAAUAUUUCUAAUUUAUUCCUGCUUAAAAUAGAGAAAUAAAAAUUGGCACCAUUCCAAACCCUUUCUGUUUUUUGGUCAAGGAGGAAUUUUAUAACAAAGUCCAAACGGACGCAGUAGAAAGAUAACAGCUUCAUAAUUGAGGUAGGUACAAAUGAGACGUCACUUGUACAUUCAUCGCAUGAGUAAAGGUUCUCAAUUAUACCUAAAGCAUACAAAAAAAUUACAAGAGAUAUGGCUCGGCCCAAAAGCCGAAGUCCACCCGAAGAGGCCCAAAAGUGACCCCUCCGAAAAAAUCUAAUAACCCUAAAACGAGAAUCACCCACCGCCUCAACCGCCUCACCAUUCCAAACCCUUCUUGAUUCUUAUUCUCCUUCUUUCGCCUUCUCUUAAUUCUUCUCCAAACACAGAUUUGCCAUUGGGCUCCACUGCAUCUGGAAUUGACAGUGCACUGUGCACUGCAACAGUGGCUCAGAAAAGGACGACGCCGUUUCCCAAAUUCUCAGUCAAGCACCGCCUGAAAUCCUUAUGGCCCUAGAGCACCAAGAGGAGGUGGCGGACCCACAUACCAUGGGAUGGCUCUCGUAUGAGGGGUAUACUUAGGGAAUAAAUUUAAUUUAAAUAAUUGAAUAUGCAACGGAAAAAUAAUAAAUAACAUACAAUAUGUUAUUCCAAUAUGCUAAAAAUGUCUCUAUAAUCUUAUCAAAUAGUGCUAAUAGCAUUUUAACAACUACACAACACCAAAGUGCGUCGAAGUGAGGCACCUGAUGAGCCUAAAAACAGAGGUGGAUGGUUUAAGGGUUGCGAUGGAAAGCAAUAUUGGAGCAAAAAAGGGGCAUAAAAACCCAAAUUUUGAGACGAAAGGUCAAGAAAACCAAAAUACAAGGGGUCUAAGUAAAAUACAGAGAAGCUAAGGAGACAAAGGAGAAGGAAAAGUAGUUGGAAUUGGCCAGAGAAGGGGGUUGCCAUCGACCCCCACCCAAAGUAGGUGUUGGUGGCAUUGUCUUCAUGAUUCAGCGUGUCCGUGUUUGUCUUAUCCAUUUUGCUUUAAUGUCUUUGUGUUUUUUAAAACUUCCAUGUUAUGUAUCAUUGAGGGCUUCAAAAAGAAAAAUAAAGAACGGUUAGAUCUUUCAUGUUGCGUUCUAAUUAUCUUUGCAAUGAUUAAAUUUUUUAUAAAACUCCUACUUGAAUGGUAUGUACUAUUGCAGUCGAACUUUUAUUAGUAUUUAAUAUAACAGGAUAGUGUUAUUUACACAUCUGUUUUACCCACACGCAUUUGUUAAUUUUGAACCAUCAAAUUUCUUCAAUUCAUUCGAUUAGACGGUUGGAUAUUGACCUCUCGUUGAUUUCUGUUCUUUGAUAUUUUUCAAUUCAUCUUAUCAGACAUCCGAAAAUUAAAAAAAUGUGUGAAUAUCACACCCCUAAUAAAAAAUGGUGGAUAGCACUACCCUAAUAAGGUUAGUGGAGUGUCAACUUCAUCUCUCGUAUUUUUCCACUCUUCAAAGUGAAGAUAUAUGAAUCUCAUCAUAUAGAUAAGAUUCUGUUAUAAGCUUAUCGUCAUAUCAAUGCUAGGUUAGGUUAGCGGCAGCGGCAUGGUCCCUUUUGGCCCAUACGUCCGUACACAGCUCCGUUAACUUAUCACGGAUGGGCAUUAGGAUAAGUUCUACUAGAUACCAGAAUCCCAGAUGGAAAAUUUAUCUCGUGUUCUCUGUACAAGUUAUACUAACGAGAGCAUCUUUCAACAAUCCAGAUGGAUAAGCAAUAACGGAGUUGUACCAACGGAAAUUUCAAUCGACGUUAGAUUCAUAUCCAUGUUUCUGGCAUCAAGUUAGGGUCUCGGAAAAUAGGGUCCCCUCUGGCAAUGGCCGGAUCGACAUAGAGAUUCGGAUGAUACCAAUAACCUCCGACAGUCCGACUGCCCGAAAAAUACAUGCGAAGGUCUUUCGAGGACUAUCCAAAUGUAUGACACAGACUCAUUAAUAGUAUGAUGAAAUGCCUUCCAAAAAUAUCUUGACAACAUUUGGCUAGACAUGUCAACCAUGCCUAGCCUGAGAUCUCAACAGCACUCGACAAGUUUUUUUGGCUUUGUUAAUACAACGCAAUAACGAUCGGUCCACUAAAUGCUCGACAAAUUUUUACGUGUUACGCGCACAUUAGUUUCUUUUUGUGUGCAUAUUUUUUAAAAUUUUAUUUGUGUUUGUACCCAUGUGUAUGUCAUCAUGUAACAUUGUAUAUUUAAUCAAUGAUAGAAAAAUUACAUAUGGUAUAUUUAUGUUUUAUGCCUAACUUUUGUAUCAUAUAUUUAUAUUUUUAGUUUGUACCCACUUUUAAUUUGCAACAUUUUUUAAAAAAAUUUGUAGUAUUUUCUUUUUAAUUUUAUUUUGUACCCAUGUAUUAAUUUCUUUUAGUGCCUAUAUUUUUUAAGUACCAAUUUUUUUAACACUAUGAAUACAUUCUUUUGUCAUUUAUUAUUUCUUAUUUUUACAUAGUUUUUAUCCAUUUAUUCAAUUAAAAUGUUUGAAUUUUUUUAUUGUAACCGUUUCUAAUAGUAUUAUAACGAAGAAUUUAAAAUUUAUAGGAUAAUAAAUUUCAUAAAAUAUCAAACAAUUAAUAUCAAAACUAUAAAAAAUAUAAAUAUUAAUUGUAAUAUAAUGAGGUGUACAAAGUCAAUAAACUUUAAUUAAACUUUGAAUACCAUUAAAAUUUUAGUCAAAGAAUGUUAAGGAUUAAAAACCGCAUCCAAAAUAUCCCUUAAUUGUAUGACGAAAUGCCUUCCAAAAAUAUCUUGACAACAUAUCUUGACAACAUUUGGCUAGACGUAUCAACCAUGCCCACCCUGAGAUCUCUCGACAGCACUCUGACAAGUUUCUUUGGCUUUGUUAAUAUAAUUCAAUAACGAUCGGUCCACCAAAUGCUCGACAAAUUUUUGCGUAGCCGCGCACAUUAUUCAUCUAAAUAGAACCUGAAUGUUUUAGGCUGAAAUUCUUAAUCCUGAAUCCGCCAGCCAUACGUCCACACUUACAACUACGACGAAUAGCGCCCAUGGAUAAGAUAUCUUUCUACAAACGAGAAGUAUUGACACAAGCACCAGAUUAUAUAGAUCCAGUACCACAUCAUAAUACAUUACACAUGCACGAACUAAUAUGCAGUUUUAUUAUUCAAAAUACAACAGCAGGAACUUGUAAGGGAAAAUUAAACACUCUCUUUACAAAUAACAGCAGAGAUUAUGCAGAUUUAGCAACAUGGAAACCCUAGCAACUCGGAACGAACACACCCAAACCCUAGCAACAGCGGAGAUUCAACCACUAUACUUAUAUAGUCGCACAUGCACUAGAUUGAAACUCAGAACAAACAACACCCAAAACCCUACGUGGAAACCCUAGACAGUUUCUUUUUUCCUUCCAGCCAUGGCUAAACCGUCCACAGAAAACAUGUACAUCUCAUCGCAUGCCGUGAGGAGGGCUCACAUCUCAAAUCUCACGGAUGAUUUCGAUUGGACAAGAACUCAUAUGUCACACGUCGUAAGGAGAACGGGCGCUCCUAGCUCCAGGGACCUCGCUCGCCUUCUCGUAUGCAUCCGAUGCUGACCUUCUUCGAAACCGCCCGAAUGGCUCCCUGCCACCUAAAAACACAACACUCUCAACAUUUGCCUCAUAACACUGCUCGACUCGUUAAAGUCCACUUACUACUCUUUAAGAAUAUUAAAGACUGCUUAUCUCGUUGAGAAUUUUUUAUUGUGUCGGGAACACACCACACCAUCUAUUUUUAUAUAAGUGAUAGAAAUUUUUUUUUUUUUAAGUUAUUAACUUUUUAAUACAUAUAUCCUACUAUUUAUAUAAUGAGACGCGGUACCAACACGUGUGCGAAAAAUCUCUCCAACUCAUUAUAGUCCACACUUACUGCUUUUAAGAAGAUUAGGUCAGAUUUGAUACUAUUCUCAACAAGGGCAUAAAUGUCAAUUAACUAACAAACAUAAACAUCACAAUAUGAACAGCUGCAUGUACCUACACAAAAAUCCAUCCAAAUUCUAGAACAUUGAAAUUUGACUCCACAGCGUGUUAAAUUACUACUACACCCCUUGUCUCCCUGCACAUCCGUGAUGAGUGGAAGCCCCACCAAUACCAUUUGUGGAAACUAGGUCCUCCGUGCAGGGAGCCAGUGGCAUAUCUGACAUUUCAAAU
rnacentral:lncRNA from 1 species